rnacentral:rRNA from 1 species
AUUGAACGCUGGCGGCAGGCCUAACACAUGCAAGUCGAGCGGGGUUUUCGGACCUAGCGGCGGACGGGUGAGUAAUGCGUAGGAAGCUGCCCGAUAGAGGGGGAUACCAGUUGGAAACGACUGUUAAUACCGCAUAAUGUCUACGGACCAAAGUGUGGGACCUUCGGGCCACAUGCUAUCGGAUGCGCCUACGUGGGAUUAGCUAGUUGGUGAGGUAAUGGCUCACCAAGGCGACGAUCCCUAGCUGGUUUGAGAGGAUGAUCAGCCACACUGGAACUGAGACACGGUCCAGACCCCUACGGGAGGCAGCAGUGGGGAAUAUUGGACAAUGGGCGCAAGCCUGAUCCAGCCAUGCCGCGUGUGUGAAGAAGGCCUUCGGGUUGUAAAGCACUUUCAGUAGGGAGGAAGCGUUGUGUGUUAAUAGUACACAGCGUUGACGUUACCUACAGAAGAAGCACCGGCUAACUCUGUGCCAGCAGCCGCCGUAAAAC